CUACGGGUGGCUCCAGUGAGGAAUUUUGCGCAAUGGGGGAAACCCUGACGCAGCAACGCCGCGUGAGCGAAGAAGGCCUUCGGGUCGUAAAGCUCUGUCAAGUGGGAAAAAAAUUCUUUGAUGAACAGUCAAAGGACUUGAUGGUACCACUGGAGGAAGCACCGGCUAACUCCGUGCCAGCAGCCGCGGUAAUACGGAGGGUGCAAGCGUUGUUCGGAUUUACUGGGCGUAAAGAGCGUGUAGGCGGUUUAGCAAGUCAGAUGUGAAAGCCCUGGGCUCAACCCGGGAAGUGCAUUUGAAACUGCUUCACUAGAGUAUGGGAGAGGAGAUUGGAAUUCCUGGUGUAGAGGUGAAAUUCGUAGAUAUCAGGAGGAACACCCGUGGCGAAGGCGAUUCUCUGGACCAAUACUGACGCUGAGACGCGAAAGCGUGGGGAGCAAACAGGAUUAGAUACCCUAGUAGUC
rnacentral:rRNA from 1 species